rnacentral:lncRNA from 1 species
GGUGCAGUGGAUAGUGAAGGACAUCAUCAAAACCUUCAGGAGGAACCCACAUGUAGAUAAAAUUGGCCUGAUCCCAUGCCCUGAAGCAACAUAUAACUGAAGUCCCAUAGUCCUGGUUGAAAACAAACUUGGUGUGUAGAGGUGGUAUGUGAAGUUCCUUUUGCCAUAUAUCCACAAUAAGCUCCUUUUUUACAGAAUGAACAAGCAAUAGCUGAACACAGAUGAAUUGAUAUUUUUCACAUGUACCCUGCUGCUUUAAACACAGACAAUACUACAGCAUGGAAUGUGAAAAAGAGCUGAUCCUCUCUGGCACUUUAAAUCCCAUUAAGGACUUACAGCUAGGAAAACUGGUCUUAACUGAGUUUCCAGAGUCCAAAAACAUGGAUUCACAGGCGAUAGGUGCUACAGCAGCUAAUUCAGAAAACUUUCUUGCCUUCCUUUAUGACCAAAAGAAACUUGGGAACAAUUCCUGCAGAGAGGACACAGCUACUAAUACAAAAAGAGAUGAAAGUCUAUAGUGCAGCAGCAGUGGCCAAGCUAGAUGUCAAUAUUCUUCUUGAUGAACUAUCUUCUACAAACCAUUGGGCAUCCGCAAAUGUUUCAGACCACAGUGGAUUUCACUACUGCCAGUUUUUGUUAAAAUCUUU